UACGUAGGGCGCGAGCGUUGUCCGGAAUUAUUGGGCGUAAAGAGCUCGUAGGUGGUUUGUCGCGUCUGCCGUGAAAACCCGAGGCUUAACCUCGUGGCUUGCGGUGGAUACGGGCAGACUUGAGGUAGGUAGGGGAGAAUGGAAUUCCCGGUGUAGCGGUGAAAUGCGCAGAUAUCGGGAGGAACACCGGUGGCGAAGGCGGUUCUCUGGGCCUUACCUGACGCUGAGGAGCGAAAGCGUGGGGAGCGAACAGG
rnacentral:rRNA from 1 species